UUAAUUGAAGCCAAAAUUAAGGCACUUUAAUGUUAAUGAAGUUUUUGAAUAAUUUUUCCAAUUAAA
rnacentral:tRNA from 1 species